UGCUGUUUCCUUCCUCUUUUCUUGAUGCAUUUGCAUGCGUUAGAUUGGUAAUUUUAAAGAUGUAACUUGCGAGAAAUGCACAAGAUAAAAUAUUUAAAAGAGCUUCAAAUGCAUUCACAUUUCGUCUCCGAAGGAAUUGAGCGGCAUUCGUUUUCUCCAUACAGUCCGUUAGAAAUUCACGCCCUUACCCAGACCAGCAUGUCUUGGAAAAUCAGCGCUAAUCCAGACCAGCAUGUCUUGGAAAUUGAAGAGGCAUCCAAUGAAGUUUACUCAACUUGAUCAAGAAUUCAAGAUUCAGGUAUCCAUUUUCUUUUUGAAGUUGUUCAAAUGAAUGCUUAUAUAGACAUGUGGUGCAGGAGCACCUAAUAGGUCUUUAUGCCUUAGUGAGGCCAUGAUACAAUAUUUUAAGGUUUUUGAGUUCAUGUGAUGUAAUAAGGUCAAUCAUGACCAUUCUUGAUGUAAUAAGUGUCUUUGAAGUCAUUAGAAGGUGUUUUGAGUCAUGUUGAAGUCAUAUAGUCAUUAUUGUCAAAAAAUUGUCAAAAGCAACAUUUUGUGUUUGAGGAGGUAAUUAGGUGUUUGUUAGUCAUGUUAGUUCAAAAGGUGGUUAUAUCAGUUGGGAGGCCUUGGAGGAAUUCAAAUAGGCCAUUCCCACGUUGAUUUAGAGGUUGGAUGUAUGUGGAUGUAAACAACAAUAAAAAAUCAAUAAAAGUUUCGUUGUUUUCUGCA